rnacentral:rRNA from 1 species
UACGUAGGGUGCAAGCGUUGUCCGGAAUUAUUGGGCGUAAAGAGCUCGUAGGCGGUCUGUCGCGUCGAAUGUGAAAACCCGGGGCUCAACCCCGGGCCUGCAUUCGAUACGGGCAGACUAGAGUUCGGUAGGGGAGUCUGGAAUUCCUGGUGUAGCGGUGAAAUGCGCAGAUAUCAGGAGGAACACCGGUGGCGAAGGCGGGACUCUGGGCCGAUACUGACGCUGAGACGCGAAAGCGUGGGGAGCAAACAGG